GGAAGUGAAGAAAAGGCAUAUAAUUGUUUUGUGACAUCCAGUCUGAUCUGCUUCUGCAGAAUUGAGUGAUUUGCCAUGUCCUCUGAUCC